CCUACGGGUGGCAGCAGUGAGGAAUAUUGGUCAAUGGACGAGAGUCUGAACCAGCCAAGUAGCGUGAAGGAUGACUGCCCUAUGGGUUGUAAACUUCUUUUAUAUGGGAAUAAAAUGUUCCACGUGUAGGGCUUUGCAUGUACCGUAUGAAUAAGGACCGGCUAAUUCCGUGCCAGCAGCCGCGGUAAUACGGAAGGUCCGGGCGUUAUCCGGAUUUAUUGGGUUUAAAGGGAGCGUAGGCCGCAUGUCAAGCGUGCUGUGAAAUGUCCGGGCUCAACCCGGGCCUUGCAGCGCGAACUGGCGUGCUUGAGUCCGCGGAAAGCAGGCGGAAUUCGUCGUGUAGCGGUGAAAUGCUUAGAUAUGACGAAGAACCCCGAUUGCGAAGGCAGCAUACCGGCGCCCAACUGACGCUGAAGCACGAAAGCGUGGGUAUCGAACAGGAUUAGAUACCCUUGUAGUC
rnacentral:rRNA from 1 species